UCCUCCUCCUCCUCUUCCUCCUCUUCCUCCUCCUCCUCCUCCUCCUCUAGCGCGUGCGACGGUGGUGGUGAUCGUGGUGGUGACCCUGUUCGUCGUCGUCGUGGAAAUCUGCUUCUUGGGAUUCUGAAUAAACGUGCAGUGUCUCACUUUAUGCUGUCACGUGACCUGGUGUACGGCGAGAAAAAUGCAAGAUGGCGGACGUGGAUAUUGGGGAAAGCAUACCUAUUACCAUGGAUGGUAGCUCAAUUUUUCGUCUCCCCUACCGACCUGGACAUUGUUUAUAGCAAAGAACAGCCGGUGCCGAUGCAAAGAAACCGCCGAUACAUAAGAUUUUACAAAGAAUCCGCCGAUAUGGAUAUGUAACGUGUAAUUGAAGGUGUGUUUAAAAACAAUUCUUUCAAAUACUUCUCCAAGCGUAGAGAGAAGAGAGAUAGGGCGAUAGUUUCCUGGAAUAGAUCGAUCUCUAGCCUUAAAGAUUGGAGUAACAAAAGCUUCCUUCCAAGAGUCGGGAAAUUCAGAUGACGUUAGCAAUUGGUUAAACAGAUCUGCUAGAGGUGAAGAUACAGUACAGGUACAAUACAGAGCUCUGUAGGACCACAUUCGUAUCAGAUCGCAUUUGUAACAGGAGUUACAAAUGUGAUCGCAUAUGUAUCUGAAAUCAAGCACAUAAAUUAUUAUGUAACAAGUUUUGAGACGAAUGUGAUAGAUGCCGAUUCUUGAUGUGACAUCUGAUCAUAUUUGUCACAUGUCAUUUUCGAUCGGAAAAAUGAACAAAAUAGUGCAUUUUUACAUCUGAAACACAUUUGUAACAUGUUUUAGCUCACUUGUACGAAGUGACAAAGUAAGCUAUUGUGUUCACCCUUUGUACGUCGUCCAUCGUCCGACCGUCCGUGCGUUCACAGUUUUCUUGUGAAUACGAUAGAGACAACAUUUGUUAUUUUAUUUUGACAAAAACUGCACAGAACUUAUAUAUAUAUAUAUCUUUGAUAUCUCGGAUUCUUUCGAAAACCAGCCAUAUCACCUCAUUCGUCUUGGAGUUAUGGCCCCUGAGAUGGCAAUAAUUACUGAUUUUAGCCUUGUGAACGCGAUAGAGAUCACAUUUUUUGUUUAUUUUGACUAACCUUGCAUACAACUUAUAUAUAUCUAUAAGAUCUCGGUUUCUUUCAAAAACUACCGUAUUGCAUCAUUUGACUUGAGAGUUACGGCCUCUGAAUUGGCAUAAAAAUGUUGAUUUUAGCAUUGUCAACACAAUGGAGACUACAUUUAUUAUUUCAUUUUUAUUACACUUAUAUUAGGAUCAGCCAUAUCGCGCCAUUUGUCUCGGAGUUAUGGCUGAAAUGGCAAAAUUUGCUUAUUUUAGUCUUGUGACCAUAUAUUUUAUUUCAUUUUGACCAAACUUGUAUAGAAGUUACAUAUCUAUAACAUCUCGGUUCCUUGCGAAAACCAGCUAUAUAGCACCAUUUGCCCUGGAGUUAUAUUAGUAAGAUCUCAAAAAGUAGCCAUAUCACGCUAUUUAUCUUAGAGUUAUGGCCCCUAAAAUGGCAAAAAUCGCAGAUUUAAUAACAUGUAUAGUGUGAUAUUACUCACGUGAGCGAUAGUUGGCCAUGACGGCCCUCUUGUUAAUUAGAGGGGUAUUUCCGGUCAGGUUAAUACCUUGGUACUGGUUGUUAUCUGGCAAUUAAACUUGGCAAGAAUUUCGUUAUCACGACUGUCUAUUCAUAGUAGAAUGGUGCUACAUGUACAUGUCACGUAUAAAUUUCCCAUAUCGGUUUUUGUUUGUAAGAUUUCAUUUUUACUAAAUGCAUGAAUAUAUGAAUAAAUAUGA